rnacentral:lncRNA from 1 species
AGGCCCCUCUUCCUAUUCAGUUUUUGUUAGGACUUGCCUUUGAAACAAAACCUUCUCGGACAUUAUCUAAAAUGAUGGUUAGAUUUCCUUUCUGUCUUUUUUGUUGAAAUAUUUAUGCAGGGAAAUCCUUAUUGUGAUUUAGCAGUCUUCAGAAUGUGGCUUUUACAACUACUAUCAACUUAAAUUUAUUUUAGCCAUUAUACUUCAUCACAUAUAAAACUUGAAUUAAGUAUUUCUGUUGUUGUAUUAUACUAUUAUCUAAUAUUGAUUAUGACAUGACACUUUAUCUUGUAUCAGUAUGCAUAUAUCUACUCAUUAAUCUAAAAACUGAUUGUACUGGAAAACAAAAUUUCCAUUAAAUAGAAUAGGGAUUAAAGUGGAAAUUCAAUUGACAUUAACUUUGGGAGGUGCUUGGUUGGGGGGAGUGGGCGUCCGAAAUCGGAAUGGGAAUGAGUGACUCCCAUUCCAACCAUUUGGUUGAGAGGAGUCCCAUUCCGACUCCGGGAUGGAAUGAAAAUGGCCCAAUCUACCUAGAACUCAGGGGGUGCUUGGUUGGCGAACGGAAUCGAAAUUGAAAUGGCUUGGAAUCGGAAUCGGAAUGGCCAAAUCCUCCGGAGAGCUUGGUUCGUGACUGGAAUCGAAAUCGAAAUUAGAAUGAAAAUUUGAAUUCAUAAAGGAGAGUAGGGACUGAGUUCUAUGUAGAUUGGGCCAUUCCCAUUCCACUCCGAAAUCGGAAUUGGAAUAGAACUUUUCCCAACCAAAUGGUUGGAAUGGGAGUUACUCAUUCCUAUUCCUAUUCCAGACCUCCACUCCCCCCAACCAAGCACUCCCUCAAUCCCCACUCUCUCCUAUGAAUUCAAGUUUCAUUCCCCUUCUGAUUCUGAUCACGAACCAAAUGCUUCGGGAGAUUUGGGCAUUCCGAUUCUGAUUUCAAUCUAUUCCGAUUCCCAUUCUAAUUUCUAUUCCAGUCGUGAACCAAGCAUCCCUUUAAUAUAUCUUAUGAUAAAAUGGUAUUGUUAUUAACAUACUGCAAUCUGGGCUACCACUUCAUAACUUACUUUUUCCAUGCCUAUAUUCCCUUUAUGUUGGUUUUAAAGCCUGCAAAGGCAGCUUUUAGAGAUGCUGAACACAAAUUUUCUGAGGAAGUGGAAGCCUAAAGAGAAUGCUGCCGUUGGCAACAGGAAGCUUUCAACCUGUUUUAAUCUCUUUUCUUGGAUAAUUGCUGACAACAAAUUGCUAGUGCACAGAAUUAAUUUAGUUUUAUAUCAUUUAUCAUGGUUCAGAAAUGUUAGUUACAAUUGUGUGCCUGUACAUACACCCAGCCAGGUAGUUAAUUCUUAGAAGCUCUUUGACAUCCUGCUUCUGGUUAAUUCUGUUCAAUUUUAAUGUGUUAUCAAGUGCAGAUAUAACCAUAUAAGUUGCCUAUGCAUAUUGAUGAACAUUGAGAUACCAAGGCUUCUUAUCCCACAACAUAAAAAGCAUUUUUUCAUUCUUUCAUAUAGAUGCAUUGAUGUAAAGUUGUGAAUUAAGACAUAAAUCUAUUUGUCAGUUGUGAAUAGGGCCACUAAAAUUUGCUGAAAAGAUAUCAUAUAACUGUAUAUCAGAAUUCCAUGGCCAAAGUCUAACAUAAAGCUGAGAGAUACACAAAUUUUUCAUGAAACCAUCUGUCUGUAAUCAUCUUGAAGAACAUAUAAAGAAAUUUGUAUUUAACCCUAUCAGAACAUUAGGUUCCUAAUUUUGUUUCUUCUACCUUCACAGAUAUUAUAUCUGAUAAACACAACUGUUUUAUUUCCCUAUGAAGAAUUAUGAGUUCGUCCAAAAUCUCAUGGCUUAGCUCAUAAAAUGAAUAAAAUUUUUCUCAAGGUAAUACUAAGCAACUAAGCAGCAGACUUUUCUCCCCUUUCUUGUUUAGCAUAAAGGACUGCUUCUGAGAAAUCUUGUUUUUUAGGAUGGUGAACUGCAAUCUACUACGUGGCAUCAUCCACACUAAUUGUUUUAAUGUGUGUUAGGAAGGACUGCUUUAAUGUUAAAAGUUCACAUAUGAAUGCAGUAGCAUCCAAGGUGCUGAGCAUAAAACAUACCAUCGAGGUUUGGCUUUGGGAUUGAUAUGACUAGACCAAAUUCACAAUUUGAUGUAGAUAUAGGAGAAUGUCAGGAAAAUAUUGGAGGUCAAAAAUUGAAAAUACAAAAGAAAAUAUGAGAAGUACCAAUGGAGUUACAAAUCUAAAAAAUUUCGGCAAAAAGGCUGCAGAUUUUUUUCUUUUAAAGUGGAAUAACUACUAAUUUAUUGUCACACUCGCAACAAACUCUCAAAGCAUGUUGUUUUUUUGGGUCAUUAUAAAUGAUGAAUGAGAACUGUAACUGCAGUGAUUUGAAAAGUUUAGAAUCCGAUAUAAGAGUGGAGAAUCUUGUGGCGAUGAUGUUAACUUAUUGUCUGUUUUAUUUAACAAAGUUGUGAUGAAAGGGAAUGAAAGUGAUAGAUGCUAGGACAAAUGAAGGAUACUAAUGCAGAAAGUGACCUUCUUGAUAAGCAAGAUUUCAAAAUUUCCCUGACAAUAUAAAAGGAAGAAACAACAACAGACUUGACUUACAAUAUAGAGCUUAAGAGUGGAAAAGUGAACUUCAUUCAUUUCAAAGGGCCAAUACGUGAGGUUAUUCUAUAGGGCUCAGGACUCCGAUCGUUGCUAAAAGCAGGCAUCCUAAUCGUAUCUGAUCAUGAUCUUUGUGAUUUACAAGAUCCUUACAAAAGUAAUAUAUAAAAGUGCAACAUGGAAGAAUACUUUUUAGGGCUAGUGUAGUAUUUCUGACCCCUCUUUUUUUCCAUAUAAGCUUUUAAACCAUAUCUCAGAAGCCAAUAAAAAGGGGCAAAAGAUCAAGAGAAAGGUAGAUUUUUCUGUAAUGCAGAUAUCUUCUUUUUUCCCUCCCAAUUAUGGUCCAAGGAUUUUCGAUAUGGCAGGAUUUAUAUUUGGAUUGAUUUUUCUCUAAUGAUAGAUUCUGGGGAGUUUUACCAAAAAUGUUUUAUUGUGAUUGAAUUUUUUUUUUUUUUUUCAAAUUAACUAUUGCCACGCCAUAUGCAUGUACAGUUUUUUUUUUUUGGUUUGUUUAAGGCCUUCUGGGAUCUUUCCUUGACCUGAGGUGAUUAUCUGUGCUUUAAGCAUGGAUUCUUAUGGAAGGUCUUAACUAGCUCCUUUGCACCUGCAUCAGAGGGAAAGGGAAAUUUUUGUUGUACUUGGAGUGCAUCUCUUGGGUUUACAGGGAGAUUCUAGCGUGGUUUCUGCUUGAAAUCUUUAAGGAGGCCAUCAUAAGAUUUAGCAAGAUGUAAAUUGAUUGGGAUGGGGGUGCCUGGCCUAUUUAGAUUUGAAUUGGGUAAACAAAGUGAAGUGAUUUUUUGAGAUGUAACUGUUAAAAGUAGGUUCAAUAAGUCAUUCAUUCAUUUUUCAAAAUAGAGGGGAUAACAAAAUUUCAAUGUCACUGAUAUGAGUUCAAUGUAAAGACUGAGCUUGCCGCGAGGGAGACCAUGGGGGUGUUAAAUUGUUUGCACUGUUCCCAUCUUGAAUGGCAUGGAGCGAUAAUGAACUUGUUCACUCAUAGAGGGCAUACUAGAUUCUGGAAAGUAAAGACAUGGAAAGUUCAAAGAUUCUGAAACACUAGGCUUUGGGGUAUUGGCAAUUUAUAGUACAUCAAUAAAAAUAUUUAAAGAAAGCAAUGGAACCAACAUUAUUUUAUGAGGAAGAGGGAGAUGGAGAGUCUUUGGAUGGAAAAAGGAAUAAAUGGUAAUGAUAAAGUCAAGCAUCUUUAACUAGAUGCAGGAUAAUCUCACCAACUUCCACAAUAAUUGAAACACUUGAGUGCUAAAGACAGAAAAAUUUUGGGAACAUUUUUUGAGGCUGAGACUUGCUUAUUCUUGCUCCGUCUAGCAAAUCAAGGAGUAGCAUUUGGGAGAACGUGAUAGCAGUAGGCUAAAUGGGUACGCUGGGAACGGAUUUGCCUUUGAUAAUUUUAUCUGGACGCAUUGUUGGAUACCUAUUGGUGCUUGUUGAUAGGCCUUUCUUUGUUUCUAUGCUUGUUGGUCUUGCUGAUAUAGAUAUUUUGGGCAUUAGCUGGCUGUUGCUGUGGCCUUGCUGGCUAUAGUGUCAUCCCACAUCAUAAUGCCAAGUGGUCACAUUCUUUUCCUAGAGAGCUGAAUGGCUUUAAAUCUCUUCUAUGCCAAGCCUUUGCCCGGGAAUUUGCUUCCUAUUGGAGUCAUUGCUUGUUGUUUACAGUUUGAUAAUGGCUUAGUUGGAUGUCUUUUUCCCACCGCCGAGGGGUCUUUGCAUGAGUCCUGUCACUUGUGUCUUUUUGGCUGGUGGCUUUUGUGUCAUUAUUGAUGUUGUAUUCGGCGGUGGUUGGCCCAUUGGGUUAUAUCAGCCGCAAUGAGUACUGUUGGCUUUAAUAAUUAGAUUUUUUUUUCUUAAAAAAAAGACUAAGGUCAGUUAAUUUAAUUUAUGACAAAAAAUCAUCUCUAUUUAAAAGCCAAAAAAGCCUCUAUUUACAUCAUAUAGACCCAAAAUCCCUACCCUUUUAAGCGAUCUUUAGCCUUACCUGAAAUCCUGGAGUCAUGGCAUCGCUGUUUAGCUUUAGUCUGUCUUUUGUGAGAGUGUCUGAUAACUUUGGGUUAAAUUUGCUUGACACCUGAACAAAUUGAUAGUUGAAGUUCCAAAUUUUUGCACUACUGUCCAUUGCGUUGCACUGCAAAGUUGUUUCAGGUGUUGGCAGUUUGGUCUGAUAAUAAGAAUGAUGCUUCGUAAAGUGCCAACAGGUGUCAUGCUCUGUCAUGUUAUAUCAAGGACCUUAAGGUGUUUACACUAUUAACAUCCUAAAAUACUAAUUGCCUCCCCUUUGAGAAAACCAAAAUAGUAGUAUUCAAUUAACUAAGCAACCCGGGCAGAAUAACGAAAAUUAAUCCAUUCUAGAAUUCUAGCAUCGCCCAACUUUCUUCUGGGGAAAAAUGGUUUGCUAUAACUAUAUGAAAGAAAUUAAGAAGUUAAGGCGUGUCCUAUUUGCACUUCUCUUUUGGAGCUUCUAAGUUCUUCGCUGGAAAGAUAUGCAAAUUACUCAUCAUUCUUUGCUUGAAGAGUAGACAAAUUGGCCUUCAUGCAUGGUUUCUACUUAUUCUUGUGAACUUUGUCGUCCUUACCAUCUACCAGCUUUAGCAUAUUGUUUGCUCUUUUCAUUCAACAAUAUGUCUACAUAGUUUGCCUCAUAGUUUCUUCUUUUGAGAAAUAGCUUCUCUAUUUCUUCAUGUGCAUGUUCAACAAAUCAUCAGCAUUUACUCCUUUCUCACACAUUUGUAAGCUGUACCUGCUGUCCAGUACAUUUGUGCUCUAUAUUAAUCAUGUCCAUCACAUUUUUAGAGAACUGAUGUGUAAAUUAUGAGCUAAGUUUCAAAUUUUUAGACUGUUCAAGUAAACGUUCUGUCCAAGUAAGACAAGAAGAGGUUAAUCAAUAGGAGCGUGCUUGGAAGAAGCUGGAUUUAGGAGCCUUUUCAUUUGAAUGGUGGAUGUAAUAUAUGAUUGGAAUAUCCUCUAGGAUUUUUAUCUUUAUGUUAGGAAAUAUAUCUUGAGAUUCAGUCCACAAGAAGCCCACAGCGAGAUCCACGAUGACGAAUGGAGUCCAACGAGUCUAAGACCAGCCUAAACGAAGUCCAGACGGUGAAGUUAUGCACGAGAGAAGCUAGCACGGCCCACAGAACAACGGAGGUUGGCGGCGGCACAACCAAUACCGGCGGACGUGCAAGCGCGCGCCGGAGAACGUGGACCAGUGCGUGGGUGCACGCAGGGCGUGGCCCGCAACUCUUCAUGCGGUCCAUCAUGGAUCGCCAGUCCAUGCGAGGAGGCGUGGACCACUACCUGAUUUCUCCGCACAUUUCGCACAGUCUACCAUGGACCGAGACCGUUUCCAGGCCCGUUUCUCACGGUCUACCAUGGUUCACAUUCUAUUUUGCUCUUAUUUUCAUGCGGAUGCACGAUCCAGUGACUGUGGGAGUUUGCGGUAGUGAUCAGAUGGCUCAGAGGGUCCUGGAGUUCUGAUAGGAGAUGGAUUCGCGUUGGACUCGUUUGGGAACUCCUGUGCAUAGUUUGAGACGAUCUGAGGUUUUUAAGAAGAGCUGUAGUAAACAGAGGGCCGUAGUGUAGCGUAGUGUGUUCGGUAGAGGACCCAGAGCAGCAACAAAUCGAGAGGAGCCGACAGAGAGCAAAGGCAGGAGUGCUUCAGGCAGACUGUCAGGCAGCAGAUAGCGAUCGCUUCAGAGAUUCAGCGGAUCUCCUAGAGAGAGCUUUUGUGAGGGAGAACUUCUUGUGAGAGAGAGAUUAGAUGUACGAGGGUUGAGGGUAUGAUUUUCUCUUAUAAUUUUUUUUUCAUAGUGAAACUUACAUGUCCCGUAGAGGCGAGCCUUUUGGUCGAUCCAUGUAUUGAUUAUGUUUCUAUUUUGUUUCUUCUUUCUUUCUGCUGCGACGUGUGGUAGCGAAAAGAUCCUAUGGUAGUGGUGUCCUGGCCAGACAUCUCCAACACUGGUAUCAGAGCGAAGUGAUACCAGGACAUAGGUUGCGGUGGUGGUAAGCAAGAUUAAAGAUGGAGAAAACAUGCUCAAUCAAAGUGGAGAUCAACAGAUUUGAUGAAAAGAGCAAUUUCUCCUUGUGGCAAGUGAAGGUGAAGAACAUGCUCGUCCAACAAGGAUUGAUCGAUGCUUUUUUAUGCGAAAAAAAAUCGACUAUCAUAGAAAUAUAGGAUUGGAGGCAGUUCUAGAUAUAGACGGUGAGUAUGAUCCACUUAUACCUAGCGGAUGAGAUGGUGAUUCAUGUGCUUGGCGAGUCUUCUCCGAUGGUGUUGUGGUCGAAACUCGAAGAGUUGUACAUGGUGAAGUCUCUCACCAACACGCUUUUUCUCUGGAGAUCGUUUUACCAGCUGUGGAUGACUGAGGAACAGAUCAUGUAGGAGUAUCUCAGCCACUUUCAGAAGAUCCUCACCGACCUCCUCAGUAUUGGCGAAAAAGUUGAGGAGAAGACUAGGGCGCUGGUCUUGCUAGCAAUGCUUUCACCUUCGUAUGAGUUCUUGAUGACUGCUCUUCUAAUGGAGAAGAGCAUCAUCAAAAUGGACGAGAUCACCAUGAUGAUUCUCCAGAAUAAGGUUCUCAGGAGGGAGAAUCCAGCUUCGAGCUCAGGCGACAGCUCAGCUUUGACGAUUUCUGAAGAAACAAGGGGCGAUAGACGGAGCGACAGAAAAUCGUAAUGAGGGCAGUCCAAGUCCAAGAUGAGGGACUUGAGCAAGAUCAGAUGUUACCGAUAUGAUGAGUUGGAGCAUCUAGCCAGAGAUUGCCCUCAACUCAGGGAUCGGAUGAGGGCUACUGCAGCAACGGUCAAUAGCGAGUCAAAAGAUGAUGUCCUGGAGAUAUCUGAUGAGAUAUUUAUUUUUUUCAGCAGUAUAUUUUAGAUUCUGUAUGCACCUAUCAUGUAUAUUACAGAGAAAAAUAGUUUGACUCCUCAGAGAGCAAUGAGGAUACUAUUUAUCUACCGGAUGGAUCGAACUGUGCGAUCAAAAAUAUCGAGACAGUUAGCUGGAUAACACAUGAUGGUGUAGUGAGGAGAUUGAGAAAGAUUCGAUAUAUAUCCGAUUUCAGAUGGAAUCUUAUCUCACUAAGCAGAUUGGAUUCGACCGGCUACAGGUAGAGGGUUGGUGGAGGAAUCCUGAAAAUAUUUCGUGAUGAUAGAAUUAUUCUGGAGGAAAAAAAGAGGAUGAGAGAACAUUACUACCUGGCAAGGAGUCCAGUGCGAGGUGGAGUUUCAAGAGUCAGGAGGAGUCCAGAGUGAGAUGGAGCUUCAGGUGGAGGUGGAUUAGACACUAGACACAAGAUUCGGAAGGAUGAGAGACAAUAUCGCAGGGUGAGAUUUCUAUUGCCGUAUAAGGAUAUCCCGAACAGAUCUCAGGUCAUGAGGAGCAAAGCAUACGAUAGAGAUGAGAUCGAGCGAUCUGAUUCGACUUCCAUGUUGGUCUAUUCAUGAUCAGCAGUCGAUUGCCCCAAGGCAUUGGGGUGAGAAGAUCCAAAAAUUUUCAGAGUUAGGAGGAGACCGAAUAUCGAGUCGAGAUGGAGAUUGUUAGGAGAUACAUCUUGAGAUUCGGUUCACAAGGAGUCCACAGCGAGAUCCAUGACGACGAACGAAAUCCAAUGAACCUAAGAUCAGUCCAAACGAAGUCCAGAUGGUGAAGUUACAUAUGAGAAAAGCUAGCACGGCCCACGGAGCAGUGGAGGGCGUUGGCAGUGUAGCCAGGCCCGACGAAUGCACGAGCACAUGCAGGAGAGUGUGGCCCACCACGCAGGCGGGCCCAGCAUGGGCGCCCGCAGCUCUUUACACGAUCCAUCAUAGACCGCCAGUCCACGCGAGGAGGCAUGGACCGCUACCUGGUUUCCCCGCACGUUUCGCACGGUCUACCAUGGAUCGGGGCCGUUUCCAGGCCCAUUUCUCAUGGUCUACUGUGGUCCACACUCUGUUUCGCUCUGAUUUUUGUGCGGGUGCGUAAUCCAGUGGCUGUGGGAGUUUGCGGUAGUGAUCAGAUGGCUAAGAGGAUCUUGGAGUUCUGAUAGGAGAUGAAAUUAACGUUGAAUUCAUUUUGGAACUCCUGUGCAUAGUCUGAGACGAUCUGAGGUCUUUAAGAAGAGCUGUGGCAAACAGAGGGCCGUAGUGUGGCAUGGUGUGUUCGACCGAAAAUCCAGAGUAGCAGCAGAUCGAGAGGAGCCGACAGAGAGCAGAGGCAGGAGUGCUUCAGACAGACUGUCAAGCAGUGGACAACAGUCGCUUCAGAAAUUCAGGAGUUCUCCUAGAGAGAGAGCUUUUGUGAGGGAGAGCUUCUUGUGAGAGAGAGAUUGGGUGUAUUAGGAUUGAGGGUGUGAUCUUUUCUUGUAUUUUUUUUUUUCUCAUAGUGAAGCUUGCAUGUCCCGUGGAGACGAGUCUUUUGGGCAGUCCACAUAUUUGAUUGUGUUUCUGUUUUGUUUCUUCUUUCUUCCUACUGCGACGUGUAGUAUUGAAAAAAUCUCAUGAUAGUAGUGUCCUGGUCAAACAUCCCCAACACUUUAUAUGGUAGAUCAAAGGAAAUUCAUGCCCUCCCUUUCCAACAUGAGAGAGGCUACAACAUGACUGUCGUAGAUGAUUGUUAUAUGAGGGUUUUAUGAUGUUCAUGUAGUCUACUUUGGCUUUAGGGAGCCUUGUGAGAUGAUGGAUCCUCUCUGGUUGGACCUGACUAUUAUGUACAGGUGUUUGUGAAGGGUUAUGGUCCUGCAUUGCUUAAGCUUGAUCGGUACUUUCUUUGCUUGCUGAUGGCUCUGUUUGUUGCCUCUCUCUGUGUUGGAGAAGGUUUUCUUGACCUUAGCCCUCAUCAACCUUGCAUCUGCACUCAACCAGGAGCUUCCUAUGCUCCUACCUUGUUCUAUUUGUCAUUUCUAUUCUACCUCAUCGUCUCUCUCUUAAAGGAAGUUAAAACUCACAAUUGGCUCAUUCCGAGUUUAAUUGGACCAUUGUUUGUGGGAUUUCCAGGUUCUCUAAUAUUUCUUGUUUGCCGUUUUACAGAUCCUUGGCAUGCUCUGUGUAUGAUAGUAUGCAAAGGCAAACAAAGACUCCCUCCACAAAUUUAAAUAGCAGAUCUCUCAAUAUAGGAGUUAAUAGCAUAGCACUAUUCAUAAUGGUCUGCUUAUAAUGCUUUGCUGAAGACUCAUUUAUGAAAUAUUUGUGAUCAUUUCAGCAGUAUUCCUCCAAUCCUCUCUCCCCUUCUCUCUGUUUAGGAUAUGCAGCAGCAUUCCUUAAAAUUUACAUGUCUAUCCCAUAUAGGAUUUUAUUUAUCAAUCCCAUUUUUCUCCCCUUUUGGGCAACAAGUAUCUUGCAUCAUGAUGUGGCUUGCAGGAUUCAUUCAACCAUCAGAGCUGCAAGAUUGGGAGUCACUGAUUUCAUAAUUUCUGCAACGUAUAUUCUCAUGUCCUAAUUCAGAAUUUAAUAUUAUGGUUAAGAAAGUCAAAAAACUUGACAGCCUUUGCCAUUGCUGCUGUCCUUCACCUAAAACAUUUACAACAUACUAAAAUUUAAAUGAUGCCCUUGAUGUUGAUGCUUCUUAUGAGAGGUAAGGACUCUUGACUGAUCUCAUUCCUGAAGCAUCAUACACUUGCCACCUAGGUGGACUUGCUUGCUUCCUGCUUGCUUGAAUUUGUGCAUCUGUACUUAAUUGCAGAAGCAUAAAUAGAUAUUAGACAGAAUAAAUGUAGUCGAUUGUUUGAACACAAUGCUUACCUGUCUUAAGAGCGGAUCUGGGAAGCAGUAGACACAUUAUUCUCUGUUGAUUCUAAGUUUAUUCAUUCUGAUUACAACGGGAUGAUGACAUAGCAUCAGAAAUUUCAUGCACUCCCUGAAUCAUAACCUAUUUUACAUGAGCAUCUGGAAUUCUAAUCUUGACUCCAAACAGCAGGCUCUAACUCUAUCAGCUCUAAGGUUCACAUCUUCUGAUGACGACAGGGUUCUAUCCUGUCAAGGGCCAAGACUCCCACCACUCAGAAGGAGUGGUGCAGCACUGUUCCGGAGAACUACUGCAGUUGAAAUCGCAUGGUUGCUCAAUUGAUGUCAGGUAGCCACUCUCAGGUUCUCUCAUGUAUAAAUAUUCUGCUUCUUUCUGAUUGAAAAAGCUUAGAUUCUUCUCUUCAUCACCUGAACACACUAACAAGCAGGGCCUCGCAUCCUCCUCGCGCUUGCCAUUGCUGCAGUUGGAAUCGCCGUCAUUACUGCUCGCUUCUGAUGGCUUAUUCAGCAAUUCAGUAAGCUUUUGCGACUGUAUGAUCCGAAAUUAUAUUAUCACAUGCUUCGCAAGACAAAGUAAGUCGGAGAUCGUGAGAACAAAAGAAAGUGUUUUUUUACCUGGUUGAUCAG